rnacentral:tRNA from 1 species
AGUGAUGUAUACAAGUGGCCAACGUAGCCAGGCUUUCAAUCUGGUCCAAUUAUUAUUAGGUUCGCGGGUUCGAAUCCCGUCGUCACUACCA